rnacentral:rRNA from 1 species
UACGUAGGGUGCGAGCGUUGUCCGGAAUUCUUGGGCGUAAAGGGCUCGUAGGCGGUUUGUCGCGUCGGGAGUGAAAUCCACUGGCUUAACUGGUGGCUUGCUUUCGAUACGGGCAGACUGGAGGUAUGCAGGGGAGAACGGAAUUCCUGGUGUAGCGGUGAAAUGCGCAGAUAUCAGGAGGAACACCGGUGGCGAAGGCGGGUCUCUGGGCCGAUACUGACGCUGAGGAGCGAAAGCGUGGGGAGCGAACAGG